AUAAUGUAAGUCCAAUGUUUUUCAUCUCUCUGGAUAUGUCUAAAAUGGUCAGAAGUCUGUGUUGGUGAACAUUUCAUUUGACCACAUUUCUUAUCAAUAAAUUAGCCAUUUCACUUUGCUGCUCAGAUGUGAAGUUUUGUUACUACUGCUUAAUACACAGUUGGCUCAGACUUGGUGUGAACUAAAGCUGAGUUAUAGAUAUGUAGCAAAUGAGAACAUGAUUAUAAGCUUAUAGAGCUUUAGCACCAAAAAACUUCAACAUUUUGAAUACUCUGGCUUUUCAUAAAUUAGUAUCUGGACUUAAUGUCCACUUUGAGU
rnacentral:lncRNA from 1 species